CUGCCCGGUAGGUGAGGCUACCACGGGGAUAUGGAUUGCUGCCGCAAAAUAGUGGAGACACUAUGCGAUGGUGAGCAGGAUAUGUCGAACAACAAGGCAUAUCUUAAUGCAAUUUCAACGGCGUAAAACCGCCGCGCCCUGCGAAGCCAAAGCUCGAACGGUGGC
rnacentral:sRNA from 1 species